AGACCGAUAGCGAACAAGUAGAGUGAUCGAAAGAUGAAAAGCACUUUGGAAAGAGAGUCAAACAGCACGUGAAAUUGUUGAAAGGGAAGCGCUUGCAGCCAGACUUGCUUACAGUUGCUCAUCCGGGUUUUUACCCGGUGCACUCUUCUGUAGGCAGGCCAGCAUCAGUUUGGGCGGUAGGAUAAAGGUCUCUGUCACGUACCUCCUUUCGGGGAGGCCUUAUAGGGGAGACGACAUACUACCAGCCUGGACUGAGGUCCGCGCAUCUGCUAGGAUGCUGGCGUAAUGGCUGUAAGCGGCCCGUCUUGAAACACGGACCAAGA
rnacentral:rRNA from 1 species